GAUCUCCAACACAGAAUACUUCUGUCACCACCUCUUGACUACUGGGAUUAUAGAUGCCGGAAAGGUGGUUCCGAGGGCGUUGCGCUCACUGCCAAGCCUGGCGACCUGCACCAACUGGAACCAACUCCACAUUGUCCUCCAGUACCUUCCAGGACACCGUAGCAUGUGCACGGCACAGGAGAUAGAAAAGAACAGAAAUACUAAAGGAUCAGACGGAAUUAGGAGCGAGGCUUAUGGAGGAGGAGGAGGAAGACUGUGGUGGAGCCGAACAAAGGCAACAGAUAGAUGAAAGCCGGCGAGGCAGAAGACGGAUGCUCAGUCUGGCCUGGAGGAGAUCAUUAAUGGCUCAAGUGCUGGGAAGUGGACAAAAGCCAGUCUGCAGCGGGGUCAGAUGAGAGAACCCGGGAAGAAUCGAUUCUUUAGCACCCAGGAUCACAACGAUUCACUCACACCACACGGUCCC